rnacentral:piRNA from 1 species
UGUGGCCAAGAUGGUAACGGGACCAGUA